AUUGAACGCUGGCGGCAGGCCUAACACAUGCAAGUCGAACGGUAACAGGAAGCAGCUUGCUGCUUCGCUGACGAGUGGCGGACGGGUGAGUAAUGUCUGGGAAGCUGCCUGAUGGAAGGGGAUAACUACUGGAAACGGUAGCUAAUACCGCAUAAUGUCGCAAGACCAAAGAGGGGGACCUUCGGGCCUCUUGCCAUCGGAUGUGCCCAGAUGGGAUUAGCUUGUUGGUGGGGUAACGGCUCACCAAGGCGACGAUCCCUAGCUGGUCUGAGAGGAUGACCAGCCACACUGGGACUGAGACACGGUCCAGACUCCUACGGGAGGCAGCAGUGGGGAAUAUUGCACAAUGGGCGCAAGCCUGAUGCAGCCAUGCCGCGUGUAUGAAGAAGGCCUUCGGGUUGUAAAGUACUUUCAGCGGGGAGGAAGGGAGUAAAGUUAAUACCUUUGCUCAUUGACGUUACCCGCAGAAGAAGCACCGGCUAACUCCGUG
rnacentral:rRNA from 1 species